ACUAGCAAGUCGAGCGAACAGAUAAGGAGCUUGCUCCUUUGACGUUAGCGGCGGACGGGUGAGUAACACGUGGGUAACCUACCUAUAAGACUGGGAUAACUUCGGGAAACCGGAGCUAAUACCGGAUAAUAUUUCGAACCGCAUGGUUCGAUAGUGAAAGAUGGUUUUGCUAUCACUUAUAGAUGGACCCGCGCCGUAUUAGCUAGUUGGUAAGGUAACGGCUUACCAAGGCGACGAUACGUAGCCGACCUGAGAGGGUGAUCGGCCACACUGGAACUGAGACACGGUCCAGACUCCUACGGGAGGCAGCAGUAGGGAAUCUUCCGCAAUGGGCGAAAGCCUGACGGAGCAACGCCGCGUGAGUGAUGAAGGUCUUCGGAUCGUAAAACUCUGUUAUUAGGGAAGAACAUACGUGUAAGUAACUGUGCACGUCUUGACGGUACCUAAUCAGAAAGCCACGGCUAACUACGUGCCAGCAGCCGCGGUAAUACGUAGGUGGCAAGCGUUAUCCGGAAUUAUUGGGCGUAAAGCGCGCGUAGGCGGUUUUUUAAGUCUGAUGUGAAAGCCCACGGCUCAACCGUGGAGGGUCAUUGGAAACUGGAAAACUUGAGUGCAGAAGAGGAAAGUGGAAUUCCAUGUGUAGCGGUGAAAUGCGCAGAGAUAUGGAGGAACACCAGUGGCGAAGGCGACUUUCUGGUCUGUAACUGACGCUGAUGUGCGAAAGCGUGGGGAUCAAACAGGAUUAGAUACCCUGGUAGUCCACGCCGUAAACGAUGAGUGCUAAGUGUUAGGGGGUUUCCGCCCCUUAGU
rnacentral:rRNA from 1 species